GCAAAAACUGUCUUGAUUUGAGAUAUGGUCUGUGUGAUAUGAGAAGCAGAAGCAGUACAUGUAAAGGAAUUUUCUGGAAAACUAGACAAACUAGGCUUCAUAUAUGUGAGAUAUUGCAGUUGCCUGAUUUUUUGCUUACCUGUUCAACCAAGGCUGUUGCUUCAGAGAGGUAAACCAUUUUAGCUGCUGAAAUAGUGAUCAUUUUCUUGGUGUAGGUAGCGCCAAUCACGAGAAUCAUAGGAAGAACUAAUAGGGCCAGCAGUGCCACUUCCCAAGAGCAUAUGACUGCGAUCAAGAUUCCACAGAAGAAGGUCGCAAAGCUUGACAGAAAAUGGCCCAGCUGCAACUCAGAAAUCAGGUUAGCACAUAAACACACUUUUUUUUUUCCUUCCUGAGAAAGAAAGCAAGAGAGAUCAAAAUAACCUUUUCGCCUAUUGCAUCUUGUAUGAUACUCAUGUGAUUGGUAACUCCAGUGAUGAUUUUUCCAGUUGUUAAAUCGGUAUCAAAAGCUCCGAUUUCUUGGUUGAGGACUGCUUCCAGGAAUGCUAAUCUUAACCGUGCUAAUUGUCUUUCACUUGCAUACAUCCAGCAUCCAACCUCUGA
rnacentral:misc_RNA from 1 species